rnacentral:rRNA from 1 species
AAUCAACGCUGGCGGCGUGCCUCAGACAUGCAAGUCGAACGAUUAAACUUUCCUUCGGGAAAGAUAUAAAGUGGCGCACGGGUGAGUAACACGUAAGUAAUCUACCCUCGAGUGGGGAAUAACGUCCGGAAACGGACGCUAAUACCGCAUAAUGCAGCGGCACCGCAAGGUGACAGUUGUUAAAGAUUUAUCGCUUGAGGAGGAGCUUGCGGCAGAUUAGCUAGUUGGUAAGGAAUGGCUUACCAAGGCUACGAUCUGUAACCGGUCUAAGAGGACGGUCGGUCACACUGACACUGAAUAACGGGUCAGACUCCUACGGGAGGCAGCAGUCGGGAAUUUUGGGCAAUGGGCGAAAGCCUGACCCAGCAACGCCGCGUGAAGGAUGAAGUAUUUCGGUAUGUAAACUUCGAAAGAAUGGGAAGAAUAAAUGACGGUACCAUUUAUAAGGUCCGGCUAACUACGUGCCAGCAGCCGC